rnacentral:lncRNA from 1 species
GAAAAUGCUAAUUACUUCAAUGAAAAUUUAUGUUUUUCAUUUAGAACUGUGGUGCUCAGAAGUCAAGGAUGAUGUAUGUUAAUGAUCUAUGGGGUUCUCACUAAGAAUUUUAGAAAUAAUCCAUCUGCCUGCUUCAAGACGUGAAUUGUCAACAUUUCUAAAAGGAUGUAAAAUAAUCCAGCUCUUUGCCUAUAUUUCUAGAUUCCUUAUAAUAUGGAGUCUAUCAGCUUACCCAAGUUAUUGUCUUUUUUUUUGCUCUGUGAGUAUGGGUAUAUGUUACUGAGAACCAGUGCUGGAGAUUCUAUAAUUAGUAUCACAGGGCAAUGUUCCAAGAUCAAGUGAUUGCUAAAUUCUUAUCUGUAAACAUCAGUAACGUUGAAGUUAUAAAAACAAAACAAAACACCCUAAACACAGGGGCCAGCCCCAGGGCCUAGUGGUUAAGUUUGGCUCAUUCCCCUUCAGAGGCCCAGGUUCACUUCCUGGGCAUGCGGCCAUAUACCACUUGUUGGUGGCCAUGUUGUGGUGGCUACCCAAAUAUAAAACAGAGGAAGACAUGCAUAGAUGUUAGCUCAGGGUGAAUUUUCCUCAGAAAAACAAAAAACUAAACAAAAACCUAAACUCUCUCAGCUUUAGUUUCCUUCCCUGUAAAAUGGAGAUAAAAAUAGUACUUUUUCAUCAAAUUGCUGUGAAGAGUAAAUAAGAUAAGGCAUUAAAGUUUUGAACACAGUGCCUAAACAAAGUGAUAAAUUUUAGCUGUGAUUGAUAAUUUUUCCUUCUAUGAAUUGUUUCAGCUUUAUUGUGUGUUUCCAACUAGAUGAUAAAAGGUCUGUGAAACUUUAUUAAAUACUACGUUCUUUUAAACCCAUUCUCUAAGGUUUUUAAUAAAAUGGAAAAACAGAAUCACUUUCCUCAAAUUUAGCCAUUUGCCAGAUCCUACUUCUAACAUCUCCAAGACCAAUUACAGAAUGGCAACUUAAUAUUGCCUAUGUUUGUCCUAUGUUCAUCAGGUCAGUUUUUUGGGGGCAAGAAUCACAAGCCCAAAUUCAUAAUCAGCCAACUAUAGCUACUUUGGCCAUCGCAAUGAAUGUGGAGUUGCAAAGACUUUCUUAACAUAGAGCUAAAAGCCUGGAGUAGUGGGCAGGCUGGGACUGGCAGCUCCAUGCCUUCUGCCACUUGGAACACCACCAUGCCCUGCUGCCUUUCUUCCAGGACACUCCAGUAACAUGACUGGGAAAAGAGAAAUCAAAGAAAGAAUAAUGGAAGAUGAUUACAGAAGUUAAACUCCAUUUAUAAACCAUUGACUUUAUCCACUAAACUUCCUCCAAACGGAUGGAGCCAUAAGGAGGGAAGCCUUGAGAUCUCCCGAUAGGCUGGUGUGUACCAGGAACAAUAAAUGACAAA